CAAGACCCGACUGGCAACACUGCAAAUAAUCACUAGUGGUCAUACGCCAACGUCACUCGCCCGAAGCCAUAAAAAAGAAAACAAAAACUUCCGGUUCCGGAAGAAAAAACAGCCAAGUGUUUUGCACUUUUGCAGCAUACUCUCUAAUCUGUGUUUUGCAGUGCACAAAAUCAGUGGUAGAACGUAGAACCUACAAGUUUUUUUGUUUUGCACGGUGUUUUAUUUAAUAAACGCUUCUGUUGUGCGAAUUGGACGCGUGACGUGCUGAAGAUUAAAGACUUUGCAUAAUGGAAUCAAAAAAAUUUUUUUUGGUUACAUUUUUAGAUGAAGAUGAUGCUCCUGGCAUAGUUUCAUCAAAGUGGUUAAGAUACCAACACUUGUUAUUACCCUAAUGUAUGCACUGAAGAAAUCAAAAACAAACUUGAAGAAGAUGCCUGCACCUGAAGCAACAUGGUCACAAUAUCAAAUAAAAAUACUUAAAAGUUAUGAAACUUAUGGCGAAGCACGAUUACAUUUAAAAAAGCGGAAGAAACCUGAAAUUUGGACUCAGACGAAGCAGAAAAUGAUGUUACAAAUGAAGUGACAGUGGACAUAAUGUCUGCUGUAAAUUACCCAGUCACCUCCGGUUCUAAAGAGGCCAAGCAAACACAACUCUAAAGCUGUUAACUGCCAAUCAGAGUGCAUUACAAACAAGCAAUAUGCUAUACAGCAGAGUCAUAUGAUUCAGAUUGUGUCAGACCUAGCUAACCAAAUGGCUGAAAUCAAUAGAAAAUUGGAUUUACCGUUAGCUAGGUCCGAAGAAACAUUUUCACCAACAGAUGACAAUGCAGGUCUUUCAGAACUUUUGGCAAGUCUACCAGUAAAAGAUAUUGCAAGUUUUAAUAAUUUCGAUGACCAUUUAAAAAUAAACAAGAAUACAGGCAAUAAUGUCAUUUUUGUCUGGUAUUGGCGGCAGAAAUGUAAGAAGCCUUACGACUAAUAUGUUGAGACGAAUAAUUCUAGAUGAUGUAGCCGAGUUGUAUUCGUUAACUGGGAAACAGAUGAAAAAUUCGAAUAAAAAGUCAUUUAUGAGUACAGAAACCUAUAAAUUAAUCUUUCAAAUAUGUAGAAAAAUCAACGAAGAUGUAACUGAAGACAGUCUAAAAGAAAUUAUAAGUGAUUGGCUAAAUCAAGCUAAAGUUAGACUUUCAAAAAGGUAAGAUUUAAUUUAUUUACAUUAGAUGUAUUUUAUUUUACACUAGCGACCCGCCCCGGCUUCACACGGGUACAUGUAUUAUACAUAUGUAUAAAACAAAGUUGCUGUCGCUGUCUGUUCCUAUAUACAUAUGCUUAAAUCUUUAAAACUAUGCAAUGGAUUUUGAUGCGGUUUUCAACAAUAGUUAGAGGGAUUUAUGAGAAAGGUUAUACAGUGUGUCCGGGCAUGUAGUGAUCAAACUUUAAGGGCGUGAUCUAUGGACAAUUUUAUCGGUGAAAAUACUUUAAAUUUGGGGCUUGACCCAUUUCUCGCAUAUUUACAAGGAUUUAAGUUUUUAAUUUUCAGUUUUCACCUAUUCCUUCAAAAACAAGUGAUAGCGUGGGUAGUUUAACAUUAAUAAGCAAAAAUUUUAUAUCAUGCGAUAGCCAAUAAAAUUAUCUAUUAGUAGAAGUAGAAAACAGAUACAAGUAUCAUACAUUUUAAGGGUGUAAGAAUGGAUUUAAUUAGAAAUAAACACGAUUUUUUUCACAUCUUUUUCAGUUAUUUCCCAACACAAGAAAAACCAGGUCGUUAAGGUAUGUUUUAUUUGCAUUUUAUUAUUAGUAUUUGAGCUAUUCUACAAAACGAAUGUAAAUUUAUUAGUCUACGUCUAUCAAUUUCGACGUAAUUGUUGAACAGAGAUACCCAUUCCCAGCGAUUUCCAUAGUAAUCGGAAUAGGUUGUGUGAUUCUUUCAGGCAGUGCAUUUUCGCAUGUCGCGUGCGCUAUGGAAACCGCUGGGAAGGGGUAUCUUUGUUCAACAAUUACGUCGAAAUUGAUAGACGUAGACUAAUAAAUUUACAUUCGUUUUGUAGAAUAGCUCAAAUACUAACAAUAAAAUGCAAAUAAAACAUACCUUAACGACCUGGUUUUUCUUGUGUUGGGAAAUAACUGAAAAAGAUGUGAAAAAAAUCGUGUUUAUUUCUAAUUAAAUCCAUUCUUACACCCUUAAAAUGUAUGAUACUUGUAUCUGUUUUCUACUUCUACUAAUAGAUAAUUUUAUUGGCUAUCGCAUGAUAUAAAAUUUUUGCUUAUUAAUGUUAAACUACCCACGCUAUCACUUGUUAUUGAAGGAAGAGGUGAAAACUUAAAAUUAAAAACUUAAAUCCUUGUAAAUAUGCGAGAAAUGGGUCAAGCCCCAAAUUUAAAGUAUUUUCACCGAUAAAAUUGUCCAUAGAUUACGCCCUUAAAGUUUGAUCACUACAUGCCCGGACACACUGUAUAAUAGAACCCCAUACGAAUCCGGGGCGGGUCGCUAGUUAUACAUAUAUUACAUUAUUAUUACACAAGGGACAGACAGACAGCGACUUUCUUUUAUACUAUGUACCUAGUGAUUUACAAAUUUUAGAUGUGCUCCUUUCAGAAUUUUAACUAAUAACCCCUUACCCUUAUAGUAGUUUUUAAGGAUUACUAUAAAUAUAUUUAUUUCAGACAUAGUUCAUAAUUUUGUUAGUAGUACAGAAACUUAUACAAUUAAAUGUAAAAUAAUGUCUUAACCUGUGGUAAAUAUACUUGUUUCUUUUUGUUUCAGAGCAGAAACACAAAAUAAAGAAAAAAACCAAUAGCGGCGACCAUGAAACCGAUUUUUUCUCAUUUAAAGUAAGAUAAGAUAAAAGUAUAAAUAAUAAAAAAAUAUAUGUUA